rnacentral:rRNA from 2 species
UUUCCGUAGGUGAACCUGCGGAAGGAUCAUUGUCGCACCU